UACGUAGGGUGCAAGCGUUAAUCGGAAUUACUGGGCGUAAAGCGUGCGCAGGCGGUUUGGCAAGUCAGAUGUGAAAUCCCCGGGCUCAACCUGGGAACUGCAUUUGUGACUGCACAGCUUGAGUGCGGCAGAGGGGGAUGGAAUUCCGCGUGUAGCAGUGAAAUGCGUAGAUAUGCGGAGGAACACCGAUGGCGAAGGCAAUCCCCUGGGCCUGCACUGACGCUCAUGCACGAAAGCGUGGGGAGCAAACAGG
rnacentral:rRNA from 1 species